CGUUCCCGUAGGAUCACCGAAGUUAAGCAACGUCAAACUUGGUCAGUACCUAGAUGGGUAACCGCUUGGGAAUACCAAGUGAUGUAUG
rnacentral:rRNA from 1 species